rnacentral:tRNA from 1 species
GCUCCUAUGGUCUAGUGAUCAGGAUACCUGGCUCUCACCCAGGAGGCUCGGGUUCGAUUCCCGGUACCAGAA